rnacentral:rRNA from 1 species
CAGCCGCCGCGGGAAAACGGAGGGAGCUAGCGUUAUUCGGAAUUACUGGGCGUAAAGCGCACGUAGGCGGCUUUGUAAGUUAGAGGUGAAAGCCUGGAGCUCAACUCCAGAAUUGCCUUUAAGACUGCAUCGCUUGAAUCCAGGAGAGGUGAGUGGAAUUCCGAGUGUAGAGGUGAAAUUCGUAGAUAUUCGGAAGAACACCAGUGGCGAAGGCGGCUCACUGGACUGGUAUUGACGCUGUGGUGCGAAAGCGUGGGGAGCAAACAGGAUUAGAUACCCGCGUAGUCCCUGUCUCUUAUAC